rnacentral:rRNA from 1 species
AGGAGAGAUGGCUUAAAGGGGUGUGCGAGCUUCUUUUGUGCACCUGCUCUAGGAUGGGACUGCGGCCGAUCAGGCUGUUGGUGGGGUAAUGGCCCACCAAACCUGUAACCGGUACGGGCCUUGAGAGAGGGGGCCCGGAGAUGGACACUGAGAGAAGGGUCCAGGUCCUACGGGGCGCAGCAGGCGCGAAACCUUCGCAAUGCGCGAAAGCGUGACGAGGUUAAUCCGAGUGGUUCCCGCUGAGGGAAUCUUUUGUUGGCUCUAAAAUGGCCAGUGAAUAAGGGGAGGGCAAGUCUGGUGUCAGCCGCCGCGGUAAUACCAGCUCCUCGAGUGGUCGGGGCGAUUAUUGGGCCUAAAGCAUCCGUAGCCUGUUCUGUAGGUCUUCUGUUAAAUCCAACGGCUUAACCGUUGGUCUGCAGAAGAUACCGCAGGACUAGGAGGCGGGAGAGGUGGACGGUACUCCACGUGUAGGGGUAAAAUCCUUUGAUCCGUGGAAGACCACCAGUGGCGAAGGCGGUCCACCAGAACGCGCUCGACGGUGAGGGAUGAAAGCUGGGGGAGCGAACCGGAUUAGAUACCCGGGUAGUCCCAGCCGUAAACGAUGCGAGCUAGAUGAUCCAAUCGCAAAUCGCGAUUGGAGUGUCGCAGGGAAGCCGUUA